rnacentral:rRNA from 1 species
ACGCAAUAAGUAUUCCACCUGGGGAGUACGUUCGCAAGAAUGAAACUCAAAGGAAUUGACGGGGACCCGCACAAGCGGUGGAGCAUGUGGUUUAAUCCGAAGCAACGCGAAGAACCUUACCAAAUCUUGACAUCCUUCUGACGUGCCAGUAAUGUGGCAUUCCCUUCGGGGCAGGAGAGACAGGUGGUGCAUGGUCGUCGUCAGCUCGUGUCGUGAGAUGUUGGGUUAAGUCCCGCAACGAGCGCAACCCUUAUCUUUAGUAGCCAGCAGUAAGAUGGGAACUCUAGAGAGACUGCCGGGGAUAGCCCGGAGGAAGGUGGGGAUGACGUCAAAUCAUCAUGCCCCUUAUGAUUUGGGCUACACACGUGCUACAAUGGCGUAAACAAAGAGAAGCGAAACCGUGAGGUCAGGCAAAUCUCAAAAAUAACGUCUCA